AUGAUGCCGACGAUGAGAAAACCAAAGGAGCUCAAAUCUCCAGGUAUUUCCGCUUAUUCAAUUUUUUGCUUUAAUCCACAUCCUUCUUAUUUCAUCGCUUUUUUGAAUUUAUGCGUGCUUAUUGUUGUUGAUGCAGUAAUUGGUGAGGCGGUAGCUGUGAACACAAGAUUGAGGAUGAUGAUAAUAAAUAAACAAUGA